rnacentral:rRNA from 1 species
AACGAAUGCUGGCGGCAUGCCUAAUACAUACAAGUCGAACGAGAUCUUCGGAUCUAGUGGCGCACGGGUGCGUAACGCGUGGGAAUCUGCCCUUGGGUUCGGAAUAACGUCGGGAAACUGACGCUAAUACCGGAUGAUGACGUAAGUCCAAAGAUUUAUCGCCCAAGGAUGAGCCCGCGUAGGAUUAGCUAGUUGGUGAGGUAAAGGCUCACCAAGGCGACGAUCCUUAGCUGGUCUGAGAGGAUGAUCAGCCACACUGGGACUGAGACACGGCCCAGACUCCUACGGGAGGCAGCAGUAGGGAAUAUUGGACAAUGGGCGCAAGCCUGAUCCAGCAAUGCCGCGUGAGUGAUGAAGGCCUUAGGGUUGUAAAGCUCUUUUACCCGGGAUGAUAAUGACAGUACCGGGAGAAUAAGCCCCGGCUAACUCCGUGCCAGCCGCCGCCGUAA